CAUGUCAGAUCAUUGAUAUUCUCAGCCAGACCUUGUUUUGAAAUAUGCUCUCCUCUGUCCUUUCACAAACUACAGGCUUUCACCCUCUUUGAAAAUAAGAUCACAUCAAGUCAAGGAUUCAAAAUGGGAAAAAUUCAAUCAGAGCCUCCCUCGGGCCAGCUACACAUCUCAAUACACUCGUCGGCCAGCAGAAUCGGCUCCCGCUACAACCCAGCUCAGCAUCAUCGUUCAAAACGCACCGGCAGGUCUUUGCUCACACUGUCCCAUCGCGCUGGAACCCCUGCUCACCUGGCCAGCUGCUCCUCCCCUUCGACCUGAGCUGGUAUGUCUCUUUCUCAGGGAAGCCUUCCCAGUCUCCCCUCACAUUUAUUAUUAGGAACUCCCAUAGGGAGCACCCAUUGCUCCCAUCCCUGCCUCUGAAGAGGCUGAAUCCAGGGUCACAUACCAAACAGUCCUGGCUACCAGUAUUCAGACAAGGCUGUGGGGAAGGACAACGUUGAGGGGGGGAGGAAUAUGCCCCAGAUGCGGGCAUCUCCCCAAGGGAGAUGCUGAAUCUGGUUCUGGGAAGUUAGGGGCCUCAUAGGAGGAGGGGGCUGUCCAAAAGGCAGGCAGGUGUGUGAAAUGUGCCUGAACUGUGGCCACGUGGACCCCGUGCUGUAGCCACAGCUGUGGAUGAGGACAGGCAGAGGACAAAAGGGGGUCAAGGACAGAACCACGGGACUCAUCCCAUUUUUGUCUUGGUGAAGAAAAAGGAGCCAAAAUGAGCACUUGGGAGAAGGCAGAAGAACGCAAAAAAGGUGGCUAAAAUAUAGCCCUGUGUUUUUUUAUUUAGUUCUCAGAUAAUCUUACAUUUUUUCGUUUUCACUUAGAAUAGCUGGAAAAGGAGGGCCCUACGUGGCAGUCCCUGGAUGAGAAAACCAUGUGUCAAAGCUGUUGCCGAAUCCCUCGCUCUAUUUUUACCUUCCUGACACUACCUCUUUGAGUACUGAGGAGGGCUCCUGGCCUGAGGUGGCCCCAGCUGGCAUCUCCAAGGCCAGUGUGGCCAGCCCUCACUUCGUUCUCCAGAAACCACCAAAAAGCCAGCUAUUCACUUCUCUUGAGCAGGAGUAAAUGCAUUAGACAAAUGUUCUCAGGCAAACGUAAAGGAUGUGAACACCAAAUUACUCCAUGAAUUACUUUUGUUUCCUUUCCUCAGUUCCAAUUUGGGUUGUUUUGUUGUUGUUGUUAUUGUUGUUCACAUCAGCACAACAAUUAAAGUUGGACGGUAAUUAAUGUUCUUAAAAUAGAACAUCCAUGUUCCCAAGUUUAGAAGGAAAAACCACCCGGGAGUGAAAGAACGUGGAUGUGUGUGACCUGCUGUUCCACUCGCCACAGAACCUUUUCCGAGCCUCAGUGGGGAGCGCCUGUCAGGUGGGGUUUGUGGCAGGACACACCACGACGGACCACGUCUGCGGCCGUUUUGCAUUCCGUUCCCGGCUCGAGUUCAAGGAAACCUUUGACAUCCGCGGCCAGGAGCUCUGGGGGCUCACCAACCUCUGAUUACAUUUCUUUUUUAAAAUAUUGAUGAACAGUCCCUCUAUCAUUUCGAAACACUGAGGCUGCGGCUGUUGGCUCCGUGCAAGGCCUCCUCAGGCCGCAGAGCCUCUCCCGGCACCUCAAGGCUCUGGGACGCUCUUUCAAACACUGAGAGAAGAAAACGGUCCCUCUGGGUAGGGGAGGGGGAGGUCACUUCAGGAUCCAAAAUCAGGCCUGCCCAGGCUGCAGAUGCAGGUUGGGGCAGGGGCGCCCAUUCCUACUCCCACUGCCCCACAGCCUGACGCCCCACUGCACAUCUGGUCACCUUGUCCCUGACAUGUCUGCUGCCUGGGAUGGAGAAUAGUGGGACUGGAGAGGAUCACUGCCAGUCCCAUAAGGUCCAGAAGAGCUAAGUGCCAUCCACCCCAUCUUAGAAACACCCACACAGAAGGGCCCUGCAGGCCCAGGCUGUCCCAGAGGAGCUGACUACCAUGUGGGGCUGGGUGGCGGUCCCCAUGCUCUGGGAGGACUCGGUGCCCAAUCAGCUGCUUCUUGCCCACGCUACCAGCUUGUCAUUGCCUGUCCCCAUUGACUGAGGACACCCCCAGCAGCCAGGUAUUGACAUGGCUUCUGUAGUGACCUUGUCUGGAGAAGAGCAUCUCUUUACAGAUGGGGUAUGUCAGUGAUGUCCAUGAUACCCUGAAGCUCCUGAGUGCGUGGGGCUGAGGCCAAGUUCCUGCCAUCAUCACACCUCUCCACUCUACAGCGCAGCAGAGCGGCUACUGUUGUCGCCAUUGUACAGACGCGGAAGCUGAAACUCUGAGAGAUGAAGCACACUGCCCAAGAUCACAGUGGAGGAGGUGGGAUUUGAACCCAGAUCCAUCUGAAUCUGAAGCCAGAGCGCUUCUCCAUCUACCCUGCCACAGAGUCUCCCGCGCCCACCUCCUGCCCUUGACACGUGGCCUCUGGAAGGGGCCACCCUCAAAUACAUGCGCCAUGGCCCUGGGUAAGGGAGCUCUGUGGCGGUACCAGCAGCUGUGGCGCUUCUUGUCAAGUCCUGCCCGGCUCUGCUGGGGUGCCCCCUUAGUUGGAGGCCCUUGUUGACAUGACCCAUUUGGACUGCAAUUUUAUAAGGUAAUUAUGGAUCAGUUUGGUGACCAUCAGGCCCUUCUGCUACAUCCUGGGAAAUGGACCUAACUCUGUUACAGGGUAAAUCAGAUAUAAUCAGCUCCUAAUUCAAUAUGGUGGCUCUAAGUAACAUUUAUCAAGAUACAGAAGCUGGUCCUGUGAGAUAGCCAACAGUGGUGGUUGGAUUAGACUCAGACAAGAAGAACCCAUUUGCUGACAGUUUUAAAAAUUAAGUGGAAGAGACAAACUUUUCCAGUACUGUACGUUAUUACAUACACUCGUGUGUUCCAGGCACAGACAAGGGCAUCUUUUGGAGUGGCCACCUGUACACCUCAGUCUCAUCCUGCCCGUGGCUCAUCCUUCAAAUCUUGACACAAGUGCCUGGACACCUGGAACACCUUCCUGUUCAAAAGCUAACCUGGGCGAUCAGAUGGUGGGCAGGGCUGGCUGUUGCUACCCCUUCUGUGCCCGAGGAUCCUAAAACUCUUAGCUACAGAGCUUAGGUAUAUUGGCAGACUUCCUCCCCAGCUCUGAGUGGGAUAGAAUUUCUCUUUUGAUUGGUGGUUUGGGAGUCACGUAGGCUAAAUAAUAAUCAGAUUAUUGAUUGGGUGAUCGUGAUUGGAUCUGUUACUUUUUGUUUGUUUCUUUGAGAGAGAGAGAAUGAGUGGGGGAGAAGGGCAGAGAGAGAGAAUCUUAAGCAGACUCCACACUCAAAUGUGGGAUUCAAUCCCAUGACCCUGGAAUCAUGACCUGAGCUGAAAUCAGGAGUUGGAUGCUCAACAGACCGAGCCACCCAGAUACCCUGGAUCUGUUACUUUUGCAUAGGAUCGAACUUUAUGUCCCCACUUCCUUCCCAACUGCCAGCCGAGUUGACCAAUAGCAAGGCCCACACCAGACCCAUACCAGACAGUUUUUGCAAACUUACGGAAGCAGUGGCCGUUAAGAGCCGACAAUGUUCCAUAGACUUCUACCCCAGCCUCCCCUAGCUGUAUGGGCCUGCCUUCCAGACCUCUGUGCAAGCUUCAACACCUCUUCACCCAUACUAGGGCUGGCUGGUGACCUUUGAUCCACCAAGUCCCUCGUUUGGACUCUCGCCCCCCUGUCUCCUCUCACAGUUGUUAAGGUCUAACUCCUGUAAUAAAUUCCUUAUUCCACCACACUUACAGUGAUUCUGCCUCCUUGAUUGAACCCUGAGUGAUAAAGCACCCCACCUCUUCAGAUAGGCCUCAUUUCUCUCCCCUAUAAAACGGGGAUGGUGUGAGACAUACAGGUUCCAGUAAGGGGGCUGAGUCUGGGUGGUGGGCCUGAACCUGGGACUGACGCUAGCAUGUACAUUUGUCAUAGUCUGCAGACAAGCUUCAGGCCAGCAUCAUGACUCGGUCGGGCUUUUCAUCUUAAUACCAGCUGUAGGAGCCCCAUAGAGCAGGUCACUAUGAGGUCAGUGGACACAUUUAUACUGGUGGCAGAAGAUGUGGGGUGUCCCUCCAGUAGUCAGACUGGUUAUGGAGCACUGUGGGUGAUCUGAGGGAGUAUUUAAGGCAAUGGCUGGUCGGAGCCUGAUUGGACGCUGGUGUCUUAGCCGGGAACGCAACCCUAAAUUGGAACAUCAUUCCGCCGGGAAGCCGGUGUGUGCUGAGUUAGGAGGCUUCCAAGAAGCUGCUGAGAAGAGCGAGAAAGAGCGAGAAUGGCUCUUUGGACAGAAACACACUCUGCUGACUUGCUAGUGAGGAGGCUCCGCUCCCCUGAUGACGAACUAGUCCUCCCCCUCCCCCAUCUCGGCUGGAGAGUGGAUCUAUAGAUGCUGUCUCAGGGUGGUGCAUCACCUGCUGCUGAUGUCCACGUGGCCCACUCCUUCACUGUACCCAGGUCCCCACUCGAUGCCACCCCCUUGGAAUAGCCUGUGCCACCCCAUGCAAACUUAAUGCCCCCUUCCAUCACCCUCUGUGCCCUUACCCUCCUCCAUUUUUCUUUCCAAAAUAUAACCACUUAACACAUGAUGCAUUUCCACAUGGUCUUUCUUCCUCCACUAGAAGGCGAAGCUCCAUGAAGGCAAUGCUUACGUCCGUUUUGUCCAGAGCACCUGGAACAGCACCUGGCUCAUAGCAGACACCACUGCAAAUUUGCUGCAGGUCAGAAUAAUCGCCGUGUAAAGAAAAGUGUCCUGAUCUCAUCUCUACCUGUGUCUUCAUUUGUGCUCAAAAACACCACAGAGAGCGCCCCCAGCCUGGAAGAAGGCUGCUUCUUGGUGUCAGGAAGGCUGGUUUGAUCAGUUAAGUACCAAACGUGAGUGCUCGCCGUCAGGACUUUAGUCUUUUCCUCUGAUCAUUACUCUUGAUCUUAGGAUCUGUAACCAUUUGGGAAGUGGGUUUGGUGUGAUUAAAUUCUUUUCUAACUUAAUCCUUUAUGGAAAACAAAAGUUUUAAAUGGAGUGAAUUAGAAUGGAUUUGCUGAUGUCUCAUCAUUUGCAAGAUAAUUCACCCUGUAUCAUUAUGAAAACUGGUGGCCAGGUAUCGCGCCCUGAAGAAUACUCCACUGGAUCUUCCUGUGAGGGAGGAGAGAAGGCUCCCAUCUUUACAGAGGGCCCGUGAUUAGAAGAGUUACACAGGAGUCGGAGGGGCCAAGGCUGAGAGCUGUUGGGAAAGAGAGCUGUCCAUGCCCUUUCUCUGCCAGGAAGCACAAGCCCUUCCUGGUAGGGCUGCGCCAUGGCCAGGAUGGCAGGUAGCAUUACAACCCCUGGCAUGGUUUCUCUGUUUUCUCUUCGUCUCCUCAUGACCACAGUUGGGAAAACACAAGAGUGGGUGUGCAGAGAGUGGUGCACAAGGAGGGUCUGGCAAGGGACUUUCGGUAGCAGGACUGUAGGGUCAAGUCGGGGUCUCUCAAGGAGGAGGAGGGAGUCACCUAUAUCCCUGCCAUUGAGGGACUAGCUCUGGGAGGCGGUUGUGUUUCCAGCUCAGUCCAGUACAGAAACCUGGGGGUCAUGACAGCAAGAAACAAUGUUUCCAAGAACAUAACAUAGAACAGAAACCUGUCCACCCAAACUGGAAACAAGAGGCACGGGUACUUGACCAGACCUCUCUAGUCACCUGGAACCUUGUGGGAGGCCCUGUUUUUGGCUAGAAGUGGGGAAGCUGUGAGUUUCUUCCCUGUAGCUCCAGUCACACGGUGCAGACUGGCAAGGUUCGGUGGGCCAAGCCGGGGUAGAACCUGGCUCCUACCCAGAUGUUUGGUAACUCUCAGAAAAUGGGAUUUCCCUCUUCUGCUGAUUUGAUUUUUAACUUUGGGGAUUUAUCACUUGUUUAAUCUCCAGCUUUUGGGUUCAGACAGCAGGGUUUCUUCCCCCAAGACAGGUGUUUUAAUGAGGGUUUGUGGCCACAGGCUUGGCUCUCACGGCUGCCCUGCAUCUUCAGUCUUGCUGGCCUGGCCGGCACGGUUCACACGCCUCUAGUGGCUGCCCGGCCAUGCUCCAUGAAAGGAGAUGCACAGGGGCGCCUGGGUGGCUCGGCUGGUUAAGUGUCCGGCUUUGGCUCAGGUCAUGAUCUCACGGUUUGUAGGUUCGAGCCCCACGUCGGACUCUGUGCUGACAGCUCAGAGCCUGGAUCCUGCUUCGGAUUCUGUGUCUCCCUCUCUCUCUCUGCCCCCUCCCCACUUGCGCUG